GAUGAACGCUGGCGGCGUGCCUAAUACAUGCAAGUCGAGCGAACGGACGAGAAGCUUGCUUCUCUGAUGUUAGCGGCGGACGGGUGAGUAACACGUGGAUAACCCACCUAUAAGACUGGGAUAACUUCGGGAAACCGUAGCUAAUACCGGAUAAUAUUUUGAACCGCAUGGUUCAAAAGUGAAAGACGGUCUUGCUGCCACUUAUAGAUGGAUCCGCGCUGCAUUAGCUAGUUGGUAAGGUAACGGCUUACCAAGGCAACGAUGCAUAGCCGACCUGAGAGGGUGAUCGGCCACACUGGAACUGAGACACGGUCCAGACUCCUACGGGAGGCAGCAGUAGGGAAUCUUCCGCAAUGGGCGAAAGCCUGACGAAGCAACGCCGCGUGAGUGAUGAAGGUCUUCGGAUCGUAAAACUCUGUUAUUAGGGAAGAACAUAUGUGUAAGUAACUGUGCACAUCUUGACGGUACCUAAUCAGAAAGCCACGGCUAACUACGUG
rnacentral:rRNA from 1 species